AUUGAACGCUGGCGGCAUGCCUUACACAUGCAAGUCGAACGGCAGCACGGGAGCAAUCCUGGUGGCGAGUGGCGAACGGGUGAGUAAUAUAUCGGAACGUGCCCAGUCGUGGGGGAUAACGUAGCGAAAGCUACGCUAAUACCGCAUACGAUCUAUGGAUGAAAGCGGGGGAUCGCAAGACCUCGCGCGAUUGGAGCGGCCGAUAUCAGAUUAGGUAGUUGGUGGGGUAAAAGCCUACCAAGCCUUCGAUCUGUAGCUGGUCUGAGAGGACGACCAGCCACACUGGAACUGAGACACGGUCCAGACUCCUACGGGAGGCAGCAGUGGGGAAUUUUGGACCAAAUGGGCGGCCAAGACCUUCGAUCCAGCAAUAGCCGCG
rnacentral:rRNA from 1 species